UACGGAGGGAGCUAGCGUUGUUCGGAAUUACUGGGCGUAAAGCGCACGUAGGCGGCUUUGUAAGUUAGAGGUGAAAGCCCGGGGCUCAACUCCGGAACUGCCUUUAAGACUGCAUCGCUUGAAUCCAGGAGAGGUGAGUGGAAUUCCGAGUGUAGAGGUGAAAUUCGUAGAUAUUCGGAAGAACACCAGUGGCGAAGGCGGCUCACUGGACCGGUAUUGACGCUGAGGUGCGAAAGCGUGGGGAGCAAACAGG
rnacentral:rRNA from 1 species